AAAACAAUCCUACGGGAGGCAGCAGUGGGGAAUAUUGGACAAUGGGCGCAAGCCUGAUCCAGCCAUACCGCGUGGGUGAAGAAGGCCUUCGGGUUGUAAAGCCCUUUUGUUGGGAAAGAAAUCCAGCUGGUUAAUACCCGGUUGGGAUGACGGUACCCAAAGAAUAAGCACCGGCUAACUUCGUGCCAGCAGCCGCGGUAAUACGAAGGGUGCAAGCGUUACUCGGAAUUACUGGGCGUAAAGCGUGCGUAGGUGGUUGUUUAAGUCUGUUGUGAAAGCCCUGGGCUCAACCUGGGAACUGUAGUGGAAACUGGACGACUAGAGUGUGGUAGAGGGUAGC
rnacentral:rRNA from 1 species